UUGUUUUCGAUGAUGGAACUUCCGAAUCGACGAUCAACUCCGUUAAAUAUGAUCUAGAGUAUUUGAAACUUCUAGAAAAUAAAUUUCGUAAAUUUUCGAAAUCAUAAUAAAGUCAAUCAAGCGGGCAUAAAAUGAACGGUCAAAAUCGAACGACAUCUUAAAAAAGGAUGAUCGGAUCCUUCAAUUCAAGAUCGGAGUUAUUGAUUUUUAUCUAGAUAGUGAAUAGAAUUUUCUAUCAAAAAUUCAACAAAUUCCGAUUCUUUUACACCGUUAAACUAGUAAGUAUCCCAUACCGGCCAUUAAAAAUUGUCAAAUUUGUGACCUCUUGAUCGUAAGGUAAAUGAUGUCGAAAAAUUAUAAAAUUUGAUUUCUAGAAGUUUUAAAUGCUGUAAAUAACGUUUAACGGUAUAGAUCGUCGAUUCGGAAGCUCUAUAAUCAAAAACGAUUUAUGAGUACAAGAACAAUCGUACUCAUAAUAGUAUAGUAGCCGGACCCAUAUAGGCCGUGGCUAUUAUACUAUUAUGAGUAUUGGAGCCCUCGUACUCAUAAGUUGUUUUCGAUGAUGGAACUUCCGAAUCGACGAUCAACUCCGUUAAAUAUGAUCUAGAGUAUUUGAAACUUCUAGAAAAUAAGUUUCGUAAAUUUUCGAAAUCAUAAUAAAGUCAAUCAAGCGGGCAUAAAAUGAACGGUCAAAAUCGAACGACAUCCUAAAAAAGGAUAAUCAGAUCCUUCAAUUCAAGAUUGGAGUUAUUGAUCUUUAUCUCGGUAGUGAAUAGAAUUUUCUAUCAAAAAUUCAACAAAUUCCGAUUCUUUUACACCGUUAAACUAGUAAGUAUCCCAUACCGGCCAUUAAAAAUUGUCAAAUUUGUGACCUCUUGAUCGUAAGGUAAAUGAUGUCGAAAAAUUAUAAAAUUUGAUUUCUAGAAGUUUUAAAUGCUGUAAAUAACGUUUAACGGUAUAGAUCGUCGAUUCGGAAGCUCUAUAAUCAAAAACGAUUUAUGAGUACAAGAACAAUCGUACUCAUAAUAGUAUAGUAGCCGGACCCAUAUAGGCCGUGGCUAUUAUACUAUUAUGAGUAUUGGAGCCCUCGUACUCAUAAGUUGUUUUCGAUGAUGGAACUUCCGAAUCGACGAUCAACUCCGUUAAAUAUGAUCUAGAGUAUUUGAAACUUCUAGAAAAUAAGUUUCGUAAAUUUUCGAAAUCAUAAUAAAGUCAAUCAAGCGGGCAUAAAAUGAACGGUCAAAAUCGAACGACAUCCUAAAAAAGGAUAAUCAGAUCCUUCAAUUCAAGAUUGGAGUUAUUGAUCUUUAUCUCGGUAGUGAAUAGAAUUUUCUAUCAAAAUUUCAACAAAUUCCGAUUCUUUUACACCGUUAAACUAGCAAGUAUUCCAUACCGGCCAUUAAAAAUUGUCAAAUUUGUGACCUCUUGAUCGUAAGGUAAAUGAUGUCGAAAGAUUAUAAAAUUUGAUUUCUACAAGUUUUAAAUGCUGUAAAUAACGUUUAAAGGUAUGGAUCGUCGAUUCGAAAGCUCUAUAAUCGAAAACGAUUUAUGAGUACAAGAACAAUCGUACUCAUAAUAGUAUAGUAGCCGGACCCUAUAUAUAUAUAUAUAAUCCAGCUAUUAUACUCUUCUGAGUAUAGGUCCCUUUCUACUCAUAAGUUUUCGACCGUUAGAUCUACCUCUUUGACUAUUUCUAUCUGUUAGAUUGUACUAUUCAACCAACUACCUACUCAAUCUUAGAGAACCACUAUCAUCCUAACCGCACAUCUCUUCAUCCAAUAGUCGAAAAUUUAUAAGUACAAAAGGCUCUAUACUCAUAAGAAUAUAGUAACCCUAGCCUAUAUAUGAGUCCGGCUACUACAACAUCUAACAUUUAUAUCCGUUUUAUUGAUCCAAUA
rnacentral:lncRNA from 1 species